GAGGCGAACCGGGGGAACUGAAACAUCUAAGUACCCCGAGGAAAAGAAAUCAACCGAGAUUCCGAAAGUAGCGGCGAGCGAAAUUGGACUAGCCCUUAAGCUUUACACGCGUUAGACGAACGGUCUGGAAAGUCCGACGAUACAGGGUGAUAGUCCCGUAGUUGACGACGUGUGUUCAGUGAAAUCGAGUAGGGCGGGACACGUGAUAUCCUGUCUGAAUAUGGGGGGACCAUCCUCCAAGGCUAAAUACUACUGACUGACCGAUAGUGAACCAGUACCGUGAGGGAAAGGCGAAAAGAACCCCUGUGAGGG
rnacentral:rRNA from 1 species